CUGGGCUAUUUGCUAAAAUAAACGUUUGCAGCGAAAGUGGUGGAAAGGGGCAUAAUGCACAUAAUAAAGCCGCUACUGUGAGAGACUGGAGCUAGUGCGACAGAAACUUGUGAUAACCCAUACGAAAGCAGCCAGGCCAAUAAUUCAAGAUGGCGACCAA